GGAGGCGUUCGGGGUCUGGUGGCCCUCCUGGUCUUCAAAACCAGCGGCUCGCACUGCGCGAGUGGUGGGUUCGAUUCCCAUCCGCCUCCGUCCA
rnacentral:tRNA from 1 species